rnacentral:rRNA from 1 species
CAGCCGCCGCGGUAAUACGUAGGGGGCGAGCGUUGUCCGGAAUUAUUGGGCGUAAAGCGCGCGCAGGCGGUCCUUUAAGUCUGAUGUGAAAGCCCACGGCUCAACCGUGGAGGGUCAUUGGAAACUGGGGGACUUGAGUGCAGGAGAGGAGAGCGGAAUUCCACGUGUAGCGGUGAAAUGCGUAGAGAUGUGGAGGAACACCAGUGGCGAGGGCGGCUCUCUGGCCUGUAACUGACGCUGAGGCGCGAAAGCGUGGGGAGCAAACAGGAUUAGAUACCCUGGUAGUCCACGCCGUAAACGAUGAGUGCUAAGUGUUAGAGGGGUCACACCCUUUAGUGCUGUAGCUAACGCGAUAAGCACUCCGCCUGGGGAGUACGGCCGCAAGGCUGAAAUUUAAAGGAAUUAGCGGG